rnacentral:rRNA from 1 species
AUACGGAGGGGGUUAGCGUUGUUCGGAAUUACUGGGCGUAAAGCGUACGUAGGCGGACUGGAAAGUUGGGGGUGAAAUCCCGGGGCUCAACCCCGGAACUGCCUCCAAAACUUCCAAUCUAGAGAUCGAGAGAGGUGAGUGGAAUUCCAAGUGUAGAGGUGAAAUUCGUAGAUAUUUGGAGGAACACCAGUGGCGAAGGCGGCUCACUGGCUCGAUACUGACGCUGAGGUACGAAAGCGUGGGGAGCGAACAGGAUUAGAAACCCGAGUAGUCC